rnacentral:lncRNA from 13 species
AUGAUAACACAGCACUGUUUUCUUCCAGAUCCCCCCAAGAACACCUCAUUGUCAGUCAGUCCCUCUAGCUCAGUAGCAGAGGGCAGCUCUGUGACUCUGACUUGCAGCAGCAAUGCCAACCCAGCAGUGAAGAACUACACCUGGUACAGAGUUGAGGGAAGGGAGAAGGACAUUGUCGGGUCUGAAGAGGACCUCAACAUCUCCAGUGUGACCAGGCUUUCAAAUGAAAAGUACUACUGUGAGGCUCAGAAUGUCCAUGGACUGCAGACCUCUGAAGCCAUCAGUAUCGAUGUAACGUUUGCUUCAGAGAUCCUGAACACCUCUCACUGCAUCAGGAUUUCAGCUACAUCUCAGAUCAGAUGUUUCUGUGAUAGCUAUGGGAACCCUGCUCCCACACUGGUGUGGCAACUGGCUGGAGAGUCUGUCAAUCACUCCACUAACACCAUCAUCAGUGAGGAGCCAAUGGGCCGAGCAGGCCUGAGCAGCUCCCUCACCAUCCACCAAUCACAGAAAAUACAGAGUCUGGUCUGCCUCAGCUCCAACUUUAUUGCUUUUGACAGCUUCUCAUUUGACUUAACAUCAAUGAAAACAUUGGAAGGUUUCCAUCUUCCCUCUCUGUUGAUCGGGGCUGGUGUGGGGGCAGGAGUGAUGAUGCUCCUAUGUAUCCCACUGCUUCACUUCUGCAAGCAUAGGAGACCCAGGCAGUCACCAAACAAAAGACAGAAGGACACAGCAGAGUUCAUAGUGACGGAUGAGACCCUCUUUCAGGAGGAGGACAAUGUCUAUGCAAAUAAAGCCAUGCUGGAUGAGGCCCUUGGGCCCAACAGGACAGUGGACAGGGAAAUCGACGACACAGACCUCCUCCACUACGCCAACUUGAACUUCUCCAAACUCCAGGCCAAGGUGGCCGAGCGGGGGGUGGGGGAGGGAGAGAUCAGGGGAGUCGCCUCCAAAACGACAGAGUACGCAGUGAUCCGCCUGCACUCCACAGGCAGUAUCGAGGGAGGGGCUGAGAAGAAGGAGGCCAUUCCUGCUCUGGAGCAGGGGGAGCACGCUGAGGACCAUGGAGCUAAAGUCUUGGAAGAAUCCCAGGCAGGGCACGAGAGUGAUGAGGAAGAAGAAGUUGCAAAGGAUUCUGCGCUGCCAGAGCUACAGGGUGUGACUAAUUAUGCCCUCAGUGUCCAGGAGUAUACAGAGGCCCCACUGGGACAGUCUGAGCAGCACAACACAGCAGAAACUGCAGUGGACGAGGUGACACUGCUUUCUGAGCCGAAAGAUUCCUCUAAUGGUGAAGAGGAGGAAACAUAUGGGAACAUAUGUCGUGGUCAGGUCAUAUCUGAAGCAAAUUGUGGACAACCUGAGUUAGAUAGGAGGAAGAGUAGGAGAGUGUAAAGGCAUAGUAAGCUGAUGUAUAGAGGGAGUAAAGCUUAAAUGCAGAUAAGGUUGUGAAAAAUCACCCAUAAUGCACUGCAGAGAAAUCCUCGUCACCUUCCAAACUAGAACCACUAUGUCCACCUUUUUUUUAACACCAGUUAUUCUACAGUGUCUGUUCAUCAGUUGGAUUUUCAUCUCUAUAUAUACAAUAUAUACAAAAGUCUGUGGACACCCCUUCAAAUGAGUGGAUUCGGCUAUUUCGGCUUAAAAUGAAAUCCAAUAAGGAAAUACAUUAGAUUUUGUCCUGCUGAUCUACACAACCAACACAUUUUCAAAGUGAAAGAACAAUUCUAUAUAUAUUUUUCCAAUUGAAUAAAACAAAAAAACAAAGAUGUCUUGAUUGCGUAUGUUUUCACACCCCAGAGGUAAUACUUGGUGGAAGCACCUUGGGCCGCCAUUAUAGCUGUGAAUCAUUUUGAAUAAGGUUCUACUAACUUUGCACAACUCUUAGGCUAACACAUACCCAUUGUUUUUUGUCCAAAUAGCUCAAGCUCAGUAAAUUUGGUUUGGGAGUCAUUGAUGGACAGCAAUAUUCAAACAUUGUCUCUAAUUGUCAAGCAGAUUUAAGUCAGCACAAGCCACAGUACUUGAAAAUACAGAGGGUUUCACUCUGUGUUGUAUAGUUCUGGAUUUGGCCCGUGGUUUUUAAUUUAGGCCAGAAAAAUGCAUUUCCCGUGUUGUCUUGCAGUAUUACUUAACAGCCUUGUUGCCAACAGAAUGUUUGAUUUGAAGUGGAUUUUUUUUAACACAGGCUUCCUCCUUUUCACUUUUCUAUAGAGGCUAAUAAUGUGGAGUGAAUGCAAUGUUGUUGAUCCUCCUGUUUGUGGUGGAAACAAUGUGUUAUUGGUGUGCUUGACCUCAGCAGGGAUUGGAGAGUUUGUCAGGAUCAUAAUAAAUAUGAAAGGAGUAAAGCCCAGAUUAACAAAACCCAGAUUAACAAAGCCCAGAUUAACAAAGCCCAGAUUAACAAAGCCCAGAUUCAGUCUUCUGAAUACCAAACACUGGGAUGGAGUUGUAUUUUUCAGCGAGUCAAUUGUACACAUUUGAAUCUCAAAGACACACCAGAAUGGCUUUCCAAUAGCUGUUGACUGCUUCUGAAUGGUCCAGUGUGGUUCAGUCCUGACUUAAAUCUGCAUGAAAAUUUGAGACAAUGGCUGGACUCAAUCCGUAUCGCUGUAAUCAAAUCCAAUGAAAAUCAAAUCAAGAAGCUGAUUUUCAAGGUUUGAAUUUUGCUGUCCAUCAAUGACUCCCAAACAAAUUUACUGGGCUUGAGCAAUUUUGACAAAAACAAGGUGUAUAUGUUGCCCUAUGAGGUGUUCAAAGUUGGUAGAAUCUAAUUCAAAAUGAUUGACAGCUCUAAUGACUGCCAAAGGUGCUUCCACCAAGUAUUUACUCUGGGGUGUGAAGACAUAAUUAAGACAGCUCCGUUAUUUUUUAUUUAUUUAUUAAUUUGGAAAACGUUCUGUAUUUUUUUUCUUUCACUUUUAAAAAGUAGAGUAAGUUAUGUACAUCAGUAGGAAAACAAUCAAAUGUCAUACAUUUUUUAUUUACUUUUAAGGCAGCAACAUUUUAAGACUGUGCG